UCCACAAAUUUCACUGUUUCA
rnacentral:piRNA from 1 species